rnacentral:lncRNA from 1 species
AGAAAUCCAAUGACUUGUCAGCCAGAGUAACGGCUGUUGUCAGGUCUUCAGGGUCUCGAGGUUAUAGUGCCAUCAUGUGGAUACUUUGUUUUCUUCAAAUAAAAUGUAACCUUUUUAUAACAGAGACUAGAAAACCCAGCCAUCCCAACACCCAGGAUAGAGGCACUCUCCAUUCCUGAUUGUUCCAAGGCUCAAGUGGUCAGAAAUGACUGGGAAGAAGGGAGAAAAACUCAGGUGGCAAAGGACAUGGACGAAAACCCAUGGCGACAUGGAAAGAAAACCCUGUGAUAUAGAGAGGAAAAGCACAGGACAGCUUAUUGGGGAGAAUGGAACUCUUCUGUAUCCUGAUUGCGGUGAUGGCCACGCAUGGCUUAGAGACGGGCUUUCACCACGUUGACUAAGCUAGUCUUGAACUCGUGACCUCAGGUGAUCCACCUGCCUCAGCCUCGCUAAGUCUAACUUUCAACCAGAAUUGUCUAGGAGAGGCAAAGAUAUAACCUGUUCAUCUGGUACCACUAUCACCCACAGAAUAUGAUAUGAGUUCUGAGCUUUUCCGAUUAAAGACCUUGUACUUUU